rnacentral:rRNA from 1 species
AGUGAACGCUGGCGGUAGGCCUAACACAUGCAAGUCGAACGGCAGCACAGUAAGAGCUUGCUCUUACGGGUGGCGAGUGGCGGACGGGUGAGGAAUACAUCGGAAUCUACUUUUUCGUGGGGGUUAACGUAGGGAAACUUACGCUAAUACCGCAUACGACCUACGGGUGAAAGCAGGGGAUCUUCGGACCUUGCGCGAUUGAAUGAGCCGAUGUCGGAUUAGCUAGUUGGCGGGGUAAAGGCCCACCACGGCGACGAUCCGUAGCUGGUCUGAGAGGAUGAUCAGCCACACUGGAACUGAGAGACGGUCCAGACGCAUACGGGAGGCAGCAGUGGGGAAUAUUGGACAAUGGGCGCAAGCCUGAUCCAGCCAUACCGCGUGGGUGAAGAAGGCAUUCGGGUUGUAAAGCCCUUUUGUUGGGAAAGAAAAGCAGCAGGUUAAUACCCCGCUGUUCUGACGGUACCCAAAGAAUAAGCACCGGCUAACUUCGUG